AAUUAGACACGUGUAGCUCGUUUAUUCUUUCGGUUUCUCUUUCUCACACACUCACUUUUUCUGCUACACCCACACCCUUAUCCCUCGCCUCGAAUCUCCAUUGUAGCCUCCAGGAGAAGCUCUACCACCUGGGAGAACCUGUCUCUAUCGGAGAUCGCCGUGCCCCACAGCACCUGGAAGAAGCUCCACCACGAGAAGGACAACCCACAAGAUGACAGAGUCCUCGCAGAUCCACAAUGAUAAUGGUUGCACAAUAAAGAUUGGAUUUUUUUUUUCAAAAUUGAUAAUUGAUAUGCUGUGAUUAAAAUCUGUGGUGGCUGUGGUAUUGAAGUUUCUAUUGUUUGUAUUUUUGUGUGAUUAAAAUCUAUUGAGAUGGUUUCAUAUUUUUACCCAGUUGAGGUAUUGAAGUUUGGUUGUAAGAGCGAUUUUGUUUUACUUAGAACCCUUCCCAAUUUCCAGUUG
rnacentral:lncRNA from 1 species